rnacentral:rRNA from 1 species
AUUGAACGCUGGCGGCAUGCCUUACACAUGCAAGUCGAACGGCAGCAUGGAGAGCUUGCUCUCUGAUGGCGAGUGGCGAACGGGUGAGUAAAGCAUCGGAACGUACCGUGUAGUGGGGGAUAACGUAGCGAAAGUUACGCUAAUACCGCAUACGCACUGAGGUGGAAAGCAGGGGAUCGCAAGACCUUGCGCUAUACGAGCGGCCGAUGUCAGAUUAGCUAGUUGGUAGGGUAAAGGCCUACCAAGGCGACGAUCUGUAGCGGGUCUGAGAGGAUGAGCCGCCACCCUGGGACUGAGACACGGCCCAGACUCCUACGGGAGGCAGCAGUGGGGAAUUGUGGACAAUGGGGGCAACCCUGAUCCAGCCAUGCCGCGUGAGUGAAGAAGGCCUUCGGGUUGUAAAGCUCUUUCGGCCGGGAAGAAAUCGCACAGGCUAAUACUCUGUGUGGAUGACGGUACCGGCAUAAGAAGCACCGGCUAACUACGUGCCAGCCGCCGCCGUAA